rnacentral:rRNA from 1 species
GAUGAACGCUGGCGGCGUGCCUAAUACAUGCAAGUCGAGCGAACAGACGAGGAGCUUACUCCUCUGACGUUAGCGGCGGACGGGUGAGUAACACGUGGAUAACCUACCUAUAAGACUGGGAUAACUUCGGGAAACCGGAGCUAAUACCGGAUAACAUGUUGAACCGCAUGGUUCGACAGUGAAAGACGGUCUUGCUGUCACUUAUAGAUGGAUCCGCGUCGCAUUAGCUAGUUGGUAAGGUAACGGCUUACCAAGGCAACGAUGCGUAGCCGACCUGACAGGGGGGUCGGCCACACUGGAACUGAGACACGGUCCAGACUCCUACGGGAGGCAGCAGUAGGGAAUCUUCCGCAAUGGGCGAAAGCCUGACGGAGCAACGCCGCGUGAGUGAAGAAGGUCUUCGGAUCGUAAAACUCUGUUAUUAGGGAAGAACAAAUGUGUAAGUAACUAUGCACGUCUUGACGGUACCUAAUCAGAAAGCCACGGCUAACUACGUG